UGUGGUGAUAUUCAAAAUAUACAUUUUAUUUUUGGCAAUCAUUUUUCUUUCUAAAAACACAAUAAUAUAUAUAUAUAUAUGAUAUGACCAACGUUUGAGUUUUAAAAAAGAAAAAUGAAUUUAUAAGAAAAUGAUUGCCAAAAAGAAAAUGUAUAUUUUGUUAUAUUACCAAAA
rnacentral:pre_miRNA from 1 species